GUUGAUGAUCGGUGCUUGCACCGAGAUUCAACAUGGAACGAGUGGCGGACGGGUGAGUAACACGUGGGUAACCUGCCCUUAAGUGGGGGAUAACAUUUGGAAACAGAUGCUAAUACCGCAUAGAUCCAAGAACCGCAUGGUUCUUGGCUGAAAGAUGGCGUAAGCUAUCGCUUUUGGAUGGACCCGCGGCGUAUUAGCUAGUUGGUGAGGUAAUGGCUCACCAAGGCGAUGAUACGUAGCCGAACUGAGAGGUUGAUCGGCCACAUUGGGACUGAGACACGGCCCAAACUCCUACGGGAGGCAGCAGUAGGGAAUCUUCCACAAUGGACGCAAGUCUGAUGGAGCAACGCCGCGUGAGUGAAGAAGGCUUUCGGGUCGUAAAACUCUGUUGUUGGAGAAGAAUGGUCGGCAGAGUAACUGUUGUCGGCGUGACGGUAUCCAACCAGAAAGCCACGGCUAACUACGUGCCAGCAGCCGCGGUAAUACGUAGGUGGCAAGCGUUAUCCGGAUUUAUUGGGCGUAAAGCGAGCGCAGGCGGUUUUUUAAGUCUGAUGUGAAAGCCCUCGGCUUAACCGAGGAAGCGCAUCGGAAACUGGGAAACUUGAGUGCAGAAGAGGACAGUGGAACUCCAUGUGUAGCGGUGAAAUGCGUAGAUAUAUGGAAGAACACCAGUGGCGAAGGCGGCUGUCUGGUCUGUAACUGACGCUGAGGCUCGAAAGCAUGGGUAGCGAACAGGAUUAGAUACCCUGGUAGUCCAUGCCGUAAACGAUGAAUGCUAGGUGUUUGGAAGGUUUCCGCCCUUCAGUGCCGCAGCUAACGCAUUAAGCAUUCCGCC
rnacentral:rRNA from 2 species